CUCUUCCUCUCUCUCAACUCUUAGCAACGUCACUGGCCUCUAUGUUGUGGUAGCGGCUCCACCGUACCAAAUGACAUGCGAGUCAGCAAUUCAAGUGAGGGAGAAAGGAGAGGUGGUGGUGGCUAAUACAACUUUGAAGUAUUUGGGUUCCGUCCAACUCGAGAAAGGAGUCAUCGAUCCUCAUUUCCAGGAGAUUUGGACUCUUUGGUUUGAAGUUUAUGCUGCUUUGAGGUUGUAUGUCAUGGUAGAUGUUAUUCUGGGUAUGAAGAAAAAGGAUGCUUUUUAAUUUUUUUUCUUGUUGGACUAAAAGAAGUUGCUAUGUUAUUUUUAUAUAUAUAUUUGGUUGGAUUUGUAUAUUUUGAGAAAUUGAUAUGUUAUUUUUCUUUUAUAUAUUUUCUUGGAAUUGUAUAUUUUGUUAAAAAUGCUUCCAUCUAAAAGUUUGUUUUCCAGCUUCAAAUCUCUAUGGCAUAAUUGGUGCAA